rnacentral:rRNA from 1 species
UACGUAGGGUGCGAGCGUUGUCCGGAAUUAUUGGGCGUAAAGAGCUCGUAGGCGGUUUGUCGCGUCUGCCGUGAAAGUCCGGGGCUCAACUCCGGAAUCUGCGGUGGGUACGGGCAGACUAGAGUGAUGUAGGGGGAGACUGGAAUUCCUGGGUGUAGCGGUGAAAUGCGUAGAUAAUCGGAAAGGAACAUCAGUGGCGAAAAGCGGACUUCCU